GGGAGUCUUAGAAGCUUGGCAUUUCUUCUCCAGAGCCAAAGCUGCUGAGAAGGAUAAUCCCAAUAAGGUCUCCAUUUUCAUCAUUCCCAGUAAGGUCUCCGUUUGCAUCAUUAGUUUGAAAAAUAAAAAGGAGUGAUGGCCGAAGAUGUCAGUGCUCAGCUUAUUACUAAUAAUGGCCAGUUUUUUCUACUACCACUGAGGAUGGUGGUUGGUAUUAGUAGCAACGCCAAGGAAUUUGAGGUUACCUGUCCGAUUUGCAAUUUCCGGAUGCUCGGCAAUCCGUUCCAUUUCUAUCCCUAUGCGGUCAUCCGUGGUACUAUGCAGGUGAUUUGCAAUGGAUGUGAUUCAUUGGAGUUUGUGUAUUUAGGAUUAGAUGAAAAUGAGGAGCAUGAAGUUACUCAACUUGAUAGCCCACCAGAUGCCAGCCCAUGACUGUGUCUUUGAUUUGGUUGUUUUCACUGCUUUUAAUCUCGUUGAGAUUAACUCAUUCUGGUAGUUUAAAUGAAUUGCUUAAGUAUUACACAACUAUGAAUUUUGUUAGAUUGGAAAUGUUGGAAAAUCAGCUCUUUAAUCUAUA